rnacentral:misc_RNA from 1 species
UCUUCUUCUUCUUCUUCUUGAUUCCGUUAUUAUGCCUUUGAGUGCUCUCCUUCACAUGGCCAACUUCACGAGUACUCCAAGGUUAUUGUUCAUUACAGAAGUGGCUCCACUUCUAUUUAUCUCCUUCACUAGGCGUCGCCCAUUGACACUAAUGUUGGAUCCAAUUGCUGAGGAAGAGAAUGAAUCUUCCCUUACUCAAAACUCGUCUCCCUCUUCGCCGCCUAUUGCCUGCUUGUCUUCACUUCGUCUCUGAACGCCGCACACGGAGUAUUCCCUCAACUUUCCAAGCUACCUUUUUUCUUCCUUCUCCUAAUAGUGAAUAAAGAAGAACCACUGUAUGGUAUCUGAUCUCCAACUCAAUUGAUGGGUUCAACGGCUACCGCAUUUUGUUAUUCCUCUUAAUGUUUUUCUCAUUUUGUUCUGAUGUGAGCUUCAAUGUCUAUGGGAUUGCUUGUUUUGACCAUUGAGCUUCGGCGGUGUUUAUCUACAAUCUCUCAUUAUGAAUAAAACCUCUGACCCUGAUGAGCUCUAAUCUCCCAGUGAUUUUCUCGGAUUUUUUUAUUAAUAUU